rnacentral:misc_RNA from 1 species
AACGCACAUUGCGCCCUUUGGUAUUCCAAAGGGCAUGCCUGUUCGAGCGUCAUUUGUACCCUCAAGCUUUGCUUGGUGUUGGGUGUUUGUCUCGCCUCUGCGUGUAGACUCGCCUUAAAACAAUUGGCAGCCGGCGUAUUGAUUUCGGAGCGCAGUACAUCUCGCGCUUUGCACUCAUAACGACGACGUCCAAAAGUACAUUUUUACACUCUUGACCUCGGAUCAGGUAGGGAUACCCGCUGAACUUAA